UACGGAGGGAGCUAGCGUUGUUCGGAUAUACUGGGCGUAAAGCGCACGUAGGCGGCGUCGUAAGUCAGGGGUGAAAUCCCGGAGCUCAACUCCGGAACUGCCCUUGAAACUGCAAUGCUAGAAUCUUGGAGAGGCGAGUGGAAUUCCGAGUGUAGAGGUGAAAUUCGUAGAUAUUCGGAAGAACACCAGUGGCGAAGGCGACUCACUGGACACAUAUUGACGCUGAGGUGCGAAAGCGUGGGGAGCAAACAGG
rnacentral:rRNA from 1 species